rnacentral:rRNA from 1 species
UACGAAGGGGGCUAGCGUUGUUCGGAUUUACUGGGCGUAAAGCGCACGUAGGCGGUUUGUUAAGUCAGAGGUGAAAUCCCGGAGCUCAACUCCGGAACUGCCUUUGAUACUGGCAAGCUAGAGUCCGGAAGAGGUAAGUGGAACUCCUAGUGUAGAGGUGAAAUUCGUAGAUAUUAGGAGGAACACCAGUGGCGAAGGCGGCUUACUGGUCCGGAACUGACGCUGAGGUGCGAAAGCGUGGGGAGCAAACAGG